UACGGGGGGGGCAAGCGUUGUUCGGAAUUACUGGGCGUAAAGGGCUCGUAGGUGGCCAAGUAAGUCAGACGUGAAAUCCCUCGGCUUAACCGGGGAACUGCGUCUGAUACUGGAUGGCUGGAGAUUGGGAGAGGGAUGCGGAAUUCCAGGUGUAGCGGUGAAAUGCGUAGAUAUCUGGAGGAACACCGGUGGCGAAGGCGGCAUCCUGGACCAACACUGACGCUGAGGAGCGAAAGCCAGGGGAGCAAACGGG
rnacentral:rRNA from 1 species